UGCCUGGGCCCACAGAGAGCGGCUGCCGAUCGGGGACAAGCUUUGCAAAGGACCAGGUCGAGCCUCGCUGAUGGGUCCCUCGGACCCUCCCACUCACACGGCGGCACCCUCUGCCGGGCUCUCUGACCGCCACUGACCACCAACAGGCAAGAGGCUGGGCGGCCGCGGCCCCGAGCCGGGCCCGACUCCGUGAGGCUGUGCACGGGCACCAUGGACACAAAGCUGGGAGCCAGGUCACCCUUGUGGAGCGAGGGUGGCCGGGGGGCUCCUCUGCCCCUUUCUCCGUCCCCCUGCAUGGCAGACAUCACAGAUCGAUUCCUGGGCUCCUUCCGGCUGAGCCGCGGGCCCCUGCUCUCCCAACAACCCUUCCGAUCAAUCCGGCUGCCGCUGGCAUGCCUCUGAGAGCCGAUUUUCCACGAGUGCCAACGACUGACUAACCCACAAGAGAAUGUGAACGCACAGCUUUCGGCCAACGGGCAUUCUGCAGUCGGGCAGACGCUCAGCCUUCUCUCCGUCCUCAUCAAGAGGAAACCGAGCCACCCUGGAAGCACCCGGUGGGGCUUUACUCUCAUGGGGCGGAAGGACGGCCCCCCCACCCCCCACCCCAGGCCUCUCCCCUUCCUGGCAUCGCACAGCACACCAGGCCGGCCACACACCUGGCCUCAGCACCACACGCCAAUGCCCCUAGGAGCUCUGGCCGGGGCACCCCCGCCCGAAGCCGCUGCACGCCGGACCCCACGCCCACGCAGCUCCCUCCACAGACCUUCCGCAGCACCGGAGACGGAAGAAGAAUCCAGUCCCAGCCACCUACCUGAAGGAGCCAGUAGCACCUCCGGUGGAAGAUGAGAGGCAUCAUCGAUGAAGGCUGGAGAGAGGGACAGCGGACCCCUGACGAGAGCGAACCAUGUCAAGUAGCAUCGAGGGAGGAAGGGAAGCCCCCUCUAGAACCCCAAGGACUCAAGGACCCCAAGGGCAUGCCCCCCUCCCCGUGUUGCCUUGCCCAGCACGCUGGGUCCCUCCCAUGGCUCACUGCCCAUCUGUACUCCCGGGACUGGAAGCUCCAGGGUGAGGCAGGGAGCCUCAGACCCUCUGAAUGACGGUGGCCAACAAGUGUCCCACCGGUCUCCACAGCCCAGUACAGGGUACAGGACCUGAAGGCAAUAAAUGGUUCAUUUUUGCUUGUGGUA